rnacentral:rRNA from 1 species
GGGUGAGUAACACGUGGAUAACCUACCUAUAAGACUGGGAUAACUUCGGGAAACCGGAGCUAAUACCGGAUAACAUGUUGAACCGCAUGGUUCAACAGUGAAAGACGGUCUUGCUGUCACUUAUAGAUGGAUCCGCGCCGCAUUAGCUAGUUGGUAAGGUAACGGCUUACCAAGGCAACGAUGCGUAGCCGACCUGAGAGGGUGAUCGGCCACACUGGAACUGAGACACGGUCCAG